rnacentral:rRNA from 1 species
GAUGAACGCUGGCGGCGUGCCUAAUACAUGCAAGUCGAGCGAAGCGGGGACGGGUGAGUAACACGUCGCUAACCUCCUAUAAGACUGGGAUAACUUCGGGAAACCGGAGCUAAACCCGCUACUUAUUGCUGGAUCCGCGCGGCAUUAGCUAGUUGGUAAGGUAACGGCUUACCAAGGCAACGAUGCAUAGCCGAGCUGAGAGGGUGAUCGGCCAAACUGGAACUGAUACACGGUCCAGACUCCUAGGGGAGGCAGGAGUAGGGAAUCUUCCGCAAGGGGCGAAAGCCUGACGGAGAAACGCCGCGUGAGUGAUGAAGGUCUGCGGAUCGUAAAACACUGUUAUUAGGGAAGCGGGAGGUAAAGAGAAAGCCACGGCUAACUACGUGCCAGCAGGCGCGGUAAGAG